GGGUGAAAUGCUGCAAUCAACAACAGGACUUGGGGCUGACUAAGAAAAAAUGAAUGGUUCUGCUGAUUUCAGAAGGAAUGUUGUACAUGGAAGUCAGUUCUCAGAAGUUCACAUAUAAUCCUGCUAAAUUAUCAGGAAAACUGUGAUACAAACAUCAGUGCUUUCAAGCCUUUGUUUCCUGAUACCCACAAAGUCCUGCUGCUAAGCAGACCCCAGCCUCUGUUGGCAGAAGUCUCUUACCUUUGUGAGAUUUUACUUGUGUGCUGCACCAGUGUCCCAGAUCACCUCAGAUGGAGCAGCAAAGUGUUUGGUCACCUCCCUUUCAAGGAAACCUGAGUGGGGCUGAAUUUACAAGUCCACCCACAAGACGGAAAGCAAACUCUACUAUGUCUAACUCCAAGGAGUCAGCACAGUAUUUCACUGCUCGUUGUAAUUACAAGAUACUGGAUUCCUCUGCAAAACUGUUGGAUUGAGACCUUGAA